ensembl:lncRNA
CUGGAGAGCAGAGCAGGUAGGGAGUACAGAGCAGGAAGAGGAAGUUGACUGGAGAGCAGAGCAGGUAGGGAGUACAGAGCAGGGAGAGGAAGCUGACUGGAGAGCAGAGCAGGUAGGGAGUACAGAGCAGGAAGAGGAAGUUGACUGGAGAGCAGAGCAGGUAGGGAGUACAGAGCAGGGAGAGGAAGCUGACUGGAGAGCAGAGCAGGUAGGGAGUACAGAGCAGGAAGAGGAAGUUGACUGGAGAGCAGAGCAGGUAGGGAGUACAGAGCAGGGAGAGGAAGCUGCCUGGAGAGCAGAGCAGGUAGGGAGUACAGAGCAGGGAGAGGAAGCUGACUGGAGAGCAGAGCAGGUAGGGAGUACAGAGCAGGGAGAGGAAGCUGAC